rnacentral:ncRNA from 1 species
UAAAUAAAUAUUUAUGGUUUAGGAAUUUUAUUAUAAGUUUAAUUUACAUAUAAAUUUUAGUGUUGAUUUUAUUUUAUUUAAAAAAUAAUAUAUGAAAAUGUAUAGUAAUUAAAAUUAAAAAUUUAAGAAAUUAAGAUUUAGUAAUACAGGAAUUAAAUAACAAAUUUUGUGCCAGCAGUUGCGGUUAUACAAAAAUUUAAAUAAAUUUUAUUAGUAAAAAUAAAUAAUAAAAAAAUUAAAUUAAAAAUAAAAUUAUUAGGUGAAAUUUUUAUUUUAUAAAAAUUUAAGUUUAAAUUAUGAAUUUAAAAAUUUUAAUAAUAAACUAGGAUUAGAUACCCUAUUAUAAAAAAUUAAAAUAAAUUACUAAAAUAGUAAAUAAUUAUUUAUUGAAACUUAAAUAAUUUGGCGGUAUUUUAGUUCAUUUAGAGGAAUCUGUCUAGUAAUUGAUAAUCCACGAAUAAUCAUAUUUAAUUUAAAAUUUUAUAUAUCGUUGUUAAAAAAAUAUUUUUUUAUAAAAAUAAUAUUUUAAAAUUUAUAUUAAAAAUUAAUUCAGAUCAAGAUGUAGAUAAUAAUUAAAAUAAGGAUGGAUUACAAUAUAUUAAUAUAAAUGGAUAAUAAUUUUGAAAUAAUUAUUUGAAAGUGGAUUUAAAUGUAAUUUUAUUUAAUUUAAUAAAAUGAUUAAAAAUUGAAAUAUGUACAUAUUGCCCGUCACUUUCAUUUAAAAAUUGAAAUAAGUCGUAACAAAGUAGGGGUACUGGAAAGUGUUCCUAGAAAGAU